rnacentral:rRNA from 1 species
GAGGAAUAUUGGUCAAUGGGCGAGAGCCUGAACCAGCCAAGUAGCGUGCAGGAUGACGGCCCUCCGGGUUGUAAACUGCUUUUAGUUGGGAAUAAAACAGCGGACUUGUCCGCUCUUGUAUGUACCUUCAGAAAAAGGACCGGCUAAUUCCGUGCCAGCAGCCGCGGUAAUACGGAAGGUCCAGGCGUUAUCCGGAUUUAUUGGGUUUAAAGGGAGCGUAGGCGGAUUGUUAAGUCAGCGGUUAAAGGGUGUGGCUCAACCAUGCAUUGCCGUUGAAACUGGCGAUCUUGAGUGCAGACAGGGAUGCCGGAAUUCGUGGUGUAGCGGUGAAAUGCUUAGAUAUCACGAAGAACUCCGAUCGCGAAGGCAGGUGUCCGGGCUGCAACUGACGCUGAGGCUCGAAAGUGUGGGUAUCAAACAGGAUUAGAUACCCUGGUAGUCCACACAGUAAACGAUGUAUACUCGCGGUUUGCGAUAGACAGUAAGCCGCCAAGCGAAAGCAUUAAGUAUACCACCUGGGGAGUACGCCGGCAACGGUG